CCUACGGGAGGCAGCAGUAGGGAAUAUUGCUCAAUGGGGGAAACCCUGAAGCAGCAACGCCGCGUGGAGGAUGAAGGUUUUCGGAUUGUAAACUCCUUUUGUUAGAGACGAUAAUGACGGUAUCUAACGAAUAAGCACCGGCUAACUCCGUGCCAGCAGCCGCGGUAAUACGGAGGGUGCAAGCGUUCCUCGGCAUCACUGGGCGGAAAGAGCGCGUAGGCGGGAUAGCAAGUCAGAUGUGAAAUCCUAUGGCUUAACCAUAGAACUGCAUUUGAAACUGUUAUUCUAGAGUAUGGGAGAGGUAGGUGGAAUUCUUGGUGUAGGGGUAAAAUCCGUAGAGAUCAAGAGGAAUACUCAUUGCGAAGGCGACCUGCUAGAACAUAACUGACGCUGAUGCGCGAAAGCGUGGGGAGCAAACAGGAGUAGAUACCCCAGUAGUC
rnacentral:rRNA from 1 species